UCCAAAUUUUGGGCAGAGAGGAUCGCUGGUUUGAAACAGGGGUUAAAGAGGCCAUCUAUGUCAAAAUUGAACAGCCCUCUCUCAACAGAGGGAGAGGGAUAAGGCACCAUCUAUCUCCAGUCCACAACACAGUCCUUUCAACAGUUCCAAGAAGGCUCCACACCAGUUUGCACCAUUCAAGUGACCCUGAUUACACAGAUAAACCUCCAGGCGACCUUAAAGACCGGCUAAAAGAAUGCAAAUGUCCAGCUGUCUGCA